rnacentral:rRNA from 1 species
UACGUAGGGAGCAAGCGUUGUUCGGAUUUACUGGGCGUAAAGGGCGCGUAGGCGGCAUAUUAAGUCAGCUGUGAAAUCUCCGAGCUUAACUCGGAACUGUCAGCUGAUACUGAUGUGCUAGAGUGCGGAAGGGGCAAUCGGAAUUCUUGGUGUAGCGGUGAAAUGCGUAGAUAUCAAGAGGAACACCUGAGGUGAAGACGGGUUGCUGGGCCGACACUGACGCUGAGUGCGCGAAAGCCAGGGGAGCAAACGGG